rnacentral:lncRNA from 1 species
UUUCAUUACCUUCCCUGUACUGGGUGCUUGGAUGCUGCUUUUAACAUAGUUCAGCUAGGUGAAGAAAUUUUCUUUUAGGGGGUAGUGUCUUACCCUGAAAUAGUAGGUGACAUCCAAGCUGUUGUACUUUGUUUUCUCUGAUCUCUUUUACAGAUUGGUUUUUGAUAUUAAAAGGUGAAAGAAGAGUUAGACACAUGUACAGCGUACAGCGCCUGGUCAUUUUGUUGCCAAUGAGUCAAUUUUACAUGGAAGUAUUCCAGGGUCCAGAUCAAUACAGUAUGAUAUUCAUUGACCCAAAUGUUGAUUUUUGAGGCUUAUGAUAUUUGCAUAUAUUUGUAGCGUAAUCAAAAUUGGAGUCGAUCAUUGAAUUGAUUGUGUACAAAUAUACGUAGACAUUAACACAUUGGGAGCGUUUCACGUCCGUGAUAAUUUUAAUCAUUUUUCUUUAAAAAAAAUGUGGGGAUUUGAAUUUUAAUUUUUUUUCUUAAAAAGCUGGUUCCGGUAACGCCGUUGAUGAAACUAAAGAAGAGCCGUGGCAUCCAUGAGUGAAGAAUAACUAUUAAACAAAAACAAAUGAGGAAAGUGGUGAGGAGGAAUCGCAGAUUUUUGUUAAAAGAAAAAGGAAAACGUGAAUUCAUUGAUGAUUCAUCAUCUCUCUGUAGUCAGUCAUCAUGAAAUCAACGUAAAGAAAGGCAAAUGGCAGGCGAUAAGGCAAUUCCUUGAUGAAGGUAUUUCAAGCCUUGCAAAAAAACAAAAACCCUUCCUUUGUUUCUUUUUCUUUUUUUUUGUCACCUUCCGAAGUCACAAGGCUAAUCCAUAGUUGAGACUAAAAAAAGAAAAAAUGGAAGAGUCGACAUGGGAGCAAAAGCUCCAGGCUCUAACCCACAUCCUAACAAGCCCCACAACCUCACCGCCUCUCCACUCUCAACUCUUCAUCUCCACACAAAUCCCAUGUUUCCUCAACUGGGAUUUCCCUCCAAUUCUCUGCAAUAAACCCAACUCCCAUACCUUCCCAUCCCUCCACCUGAAAUGGGGAAUCUCUCUUUUCCUCAAAAGGGUCUCAAGAUUGGGUGUCCACGAAACUUCCUGGAGGUCCAAGUGCCCGUACUAUCAGCCCCCACCACUGAUUCUGGCCAAGGGAGUGGAUGAAGCACAAUGGGUCGAUACGCAAAAGCGAGAGUAUGUUAGGAAGAGGCUGAGAAGGAAACGCCUAGAAAGCCAUGUCCACCCUUUAAUUCCGAUUUUGAUUCCCGAUUUAUUAUUGUUCUCCCUGCUCUGGUUCAAUCCAUUUCCCCUUAAUGAUUCCUGACAAUUUUCCUUGUCUCAGAAUUGCGUAAUAAUAAGUACUUAACUCUUAUGUCUUAUCAGUUCUCUUGUCAACCUUGGAUCAUUUUAUUUGCUUUGGUCGAUUUCGGAUUUCUUUCUCGGUAGCACUGUUGUUUGCCUUAACAAAAUAUCUACUCUCAGAAAUUUUUCUUUCUUUUAUAGAAGAAGAAGAUGAUGAUGAUGAAAAGGGGCUUAAAUUGAGGCCCCAAGUAAAUUAAUUAGAAGCUCCAACGACAUCAUAAAGCAAAACCAGUAAUAAAGAGUUCUGAUUCACUUUGCUUAAUAUAGAAUUUACCUUUGCCAGAUAAGCCCGCCUGUAAUUUUGGUUAACGUCUAAACAUGCAUUUAUUUAUUUAUUUACAACUUACAUCAUCAAUUUUCUCCCCAUGUAUAACCGACCAAACUCCAACUGCACUACCUGAAACUAUUUAUUCGGUUUAGUUAAAUCUGGCCUCCACUUUACCACAACAUAGUGGGGCGGGCCAUCGCCUCCACUUUAUUCAAUACUUUCAGCUUCUAGAAUUAAAAACAAUACAUCAUGGUUUCUUUAUUAUGUUACUUUAAUUUUUUCCCCUUUUCGUAUAGUCUUGUUUUAUAUUAGCAAUGUUCAUAAAAGGUUGAAGUUUUGGAUUUUAAAUGUUUGAGUUUAAGUUUUACCAUCUAUAAUUGCAAUACGGGUCUCUGUCACUUAGUGUCUAUGUUGUGUGUUUUACCUAAUUGUUUUUUUUAGAUUUUAUCAUGUUUUUGUUCAAUUCUUUAUCUAUUAUGAAUUGUAUCAGUUGAAUUUUAAGUUAUAAUUUAUUGAACAUAUAUUUUUUUUUGUCUUCUAAUUGUACAGUUUUAUACCAGUGAAUUUUUUUUAAAAAAAAUCAUGUGAUUAUAGAAUAUAUGACAUAUAUUUAUGAAAUUUUUAGAAAAAAAAAAAAGAAAUGUUAAGUAUAUAUCAUUUUCAGUCACAUUAGAAUCCUGAUAAUACAUUAUUUCUACGGCUUCUACUUCACUAAACUGAUGAUCACAUUGGAUACUACCUUUUCUUUUCUUUUUAACUUAAUAGUUUUAAUGCUUUUCGAGUUUGGCAAACAUUUUUUUCAAAAAUUGGGUAGGAUUCGAUGGCCAGAUUGAUACAAUCUUUGUACGGCCGAAACGCUUCCCCACCGUUAAUCAAGCAACUAAACUUCACUUAAUCCAAGGAAAAGAAGAAAAGCAAAAAGUAAAAGCCAAAAGAAAAAUUAUUCAAUUGAUUGGUCAAACACUAACGUUGACAAUAAAGCAUUUUUCUUUUAACUCUCUACCAUUGAUUUUUUAUUCCAACCCAUCCUUACAGCUUUUUGUUAUUGUUGUUUUCUAAAACAGAACCUCAUAAUAUCAGACAUAUUGGGACUCCGAAAGUUCAACCUUCAGCGCGAAAAAAUCCUUCUUGUUUCCAUUAUGUUCAUUUUGUUAUAGAUAGAGGCAUCGGUGCUUGAAUUUUGAAUGCAUAAGCACGAACCAUAAAGUUCAAUCAAGAUAUGAGGAGAAUUUUCUUUUUCUUUUUCUUUUAUCUUUGCUUUUCUGUUUUUCCUUUGUUGAUGGCGCCAAACGUAGUCUUAAAGUAUAUUAGAUACAUCUGGUGAUCAACAUUCAAUUACAAUAAAGAGUAUAGAUAGAUACAUCAAUACUAUCCAGCCCUCUUUCAUGAUGAUGUUGCAAGUUUUGCACUCCACCCCCAUAUUAUUAUGAAGAGGAGAAAUUCCUGUUACAACAUUAAUUGAGCUUUAUUUUCUAAGAAAUGACUUCUAACAUUAAUAAAUUUGAAUCAAUUUAUAGCUAUUUCUCGUACUCUUUCGUAGUAUAGCUUUCUUUUUAAGCUAAAACAGGAGAUGAUUAUAAGACGUGAAGUUGUCUUAAGAUUAACAAGGCAGUUAGAUGCAUUUAAAUUGGUAUUUAAGGAUAUGUCUGUAUAUAACUAGAACUAAUUAAGAUUACAAUACACUGCAAAAUGAUUCCACCUUUUUUUUUUUUUUUUGGUUCUCUCUUUUAUAUGAUCAAAUACAAUGUUGAUAUGAACAAGGUUUUGCAGUUGUAGAAAAUCGUGGAGGACUUUUUUUUAAAAAAAAGAAAGAUAAAAUUCAUAAAAAAAUGUGAAGUUAAGCAUAUUUAGUGAUGGGUGGGGUAUGGGGUGGUUUGCUAACAUGGAAUGCGCAUGGCAGAUUGGCACUUUAAAGAAGGGAUGGGGCCGAGGGGGCGGGAGUUGUUAAAUCCUCGGCGUAGAAAAAGGUCAGUAAGCGUGUCCCUGGCAUUAGACAAGGAGAGGGGGUAGCGCAUGCACAGCCCAACUAUAUCUCUUUAUUUUAUGUCCCACUCCACUCCCCCUCAUCUCUGCCGCAACAUUAAAUACCUUAUGCAUCCUUACUAUUCAUAAUGGUUUUUUGUUGGGUUGAUGUUACAAAAUUAAAUUUUUUAUUAUAGAUGUAUUAAUAUUUUUAAAAAUAUAUAAGAUUUUUUUUAAGUAGGAGUUUAAUCUUUGGUGGUGAUGUUGAUUUUAGAUAUAUUCCCCACCCGCAAGUAGAUAUCAUACAUUCUAAUAUAAUUAAAAAAAAAGUAUAACUAAAAUAUUUUUUAUAUAUUUUUUAUAUUUUUUGAAUUUUUAAAUUUUAAAAAAUUAAUUAAAUGUUCAUGUGUCAUCUACAUGUAUGCAACGUUAGCGAAGUUUAAAAUAUAUUAAUUUUUUCAUUCGUGAUUUGAAAAAAAAAGGUAAGUUUAAAGGUUAAAAAAGCAUAAAUUUAAAUAAAUAGUUAAAAUAAUUUUUUUUAUAAAGUUAGAGAAUUAAAUAAAUUAUUAUUUUAUUUAAAAAUAAUUUUCAAUAAAUUACUAAUUUAGUCACAUAAUCUAAUAUAAUUUAAAAAAUAAUUAUUAACAUUUUAAUUUGUAUGAAUUCUUGUUAUGUAUGGAUUCUUGUUAUGUAUGGAUUCAAACCCGUUCGUUCCAUCAACAAAUUGAUCUGCAUGAGACUUAAGGGUUAGAAUUUUGUGUAACCCUUUUUCCUCCUAAUUUUUACUUUUAAAAAGAAAUUGCAAUACAAUUUUUUUUUAUAGAAUUCUCCUAUUUUUAUUUAUUUAUUUGCUUAGGAAGUUUUACUGACACUGCUUUUAUUUUUCCAUUAAUCAAAUUUAAGAGACAAUUCACUUUUUAUAAUUAACAAAAAAAAAAAAAAGAAAAUAAAAGAAAUUACUUUUUUCUUUUUCGUGUUCGAUACAAGAUAGAUGAAAUAUGAAAAAUAAAAUGAAAUGAAAAUAUAUUACUAGUUAUAUAUCACCUCCAUUAUGUAGGGGAAAGAAAUAAAAAUAAUAUUAAUUUAUGAUACUUCCAUAAUGUGGUUAAAAAUAAUUAUCUAGUAUUUUUUUGUAAAAAAAAAAGUUGAUAUCUAUGCUACUAAUGAGGUUUCUUAGUGAGUUUGUUACUACUAAUAAAGUUUAUUUGCAUGGUUGAGACCUUAUGCUUUUCAAAUACCCAUAUUUGAAUUUUAAAAAUUGUUGAAUUUUUAUUAUAUUUAAAAAACAAGUUAUUUAUAUAACUAGUAAUGUAUUAUUUUGACUUUUUUUUUAAUCGAGUUAAUGUUGGUUAUUUCGUUAUACCAAUUCAAUAAAAUAUUUUAUUUAUAUUAAAUUAUAGCAUACUCACGAUGUGGGUGAAGUAAAAUUAUUUAACAAAUAUAUUUUGAAAAAUUGAUAAAAAUACUAAAUGAGGUUUUGGUUAAAUAGUAAGAUAUAAUUAUUACAAAUUAUAAAUAUGUAGGUUCAAAAUCUAUCAUGUGUAUAUUUGUACUAUUAUUCUAUAUAAAUUGAUAACCUUAUAAAAGUAUCUAAUUUAGUUUAUGGUUGAUUGAUCGAUAAUACCAAAUUUAUUAAAAAUUAAUAUUAGUAAAGAUAUAUAGUACAAAACUAAACAUAAAAUUUUAUAUGUUAAGGAAAUAGCGGAAAAAAUAUCAUAUUUGUAGAACUGUUUAGCAGUGUGGGAGAAUGUGAUCAUUACAAGGAAAAAUGAAAUAUAUAUCAUUAAUAACAAACAUAAAAGAAAGCGUCUUUUGAUAAAGUUGUUAUUGGUGUAAUGUGAAGGGACCACAAUCAUCACCAUUCACCACUUGCUCCUAAUUGAGUUGAAAUCUUUUUACAACAUAGAAAACUAGAAGAUCGCCCUUUCUUGCUUCCUAUAUAUAGAUUUUGUAUCAUCGCAAUUUCACAUCACACACACAAGUAAAGCAUUAGCAACCAUAGCCAUGGCUUCCUCACCAAAACUCUUCUCUAUGUCUAUCCUCUUCCUUUUUGCCCUCUUCUCCAUGCAAAUCCAUGCUAGAGAGUACUUCAGCAAAUUCCCAAGAGUUAACAUCAAUGAGAAAGAGACAACAACCAGAGAGCAAAAGCACGAGACCUUCGUUCCCCAGACCACCCAAAAGCCAGAAGAACAAGAGCCAAGGUUCAUCCCUGAAACCCAAAAUGGUUAUGGCCUUUACGGCCACGAGUCAGGCUCAGGCUCAAGCCGGCCCAGUUUCACCACCAAAGAAACCUAUGAACCCUAUGUCACCCCUGUUAGAUUCCACCCUGAUGAGCCCUAUAACAGCAUCCCCGAAUCCUCCAACAAUAAAGACACUUACUACUACAACAAGAAUGCCUACGAGUCCACUAAGCAGCAAAACUUGGGCGAGGCCAUUUUCACCGAGAAAGGAUGGAGCACCAAGGAAAACCAGAACAACAACUACUACAACGGCAACAAUGGUUACAACAAUGGCGAGAAGCAAGGCAUGAGCGAUACUAGGUACUUGGAGAAUGGAAAGUACUACUAUGACGUCAAGAGUGAGAACAACUAUUAUCCAAACCGGUUCGACAACUCAAGAGGAGUUGCUUCGAGGAACCAGUUCAAUGAGAAUCGUUACAACAACAUGGGAAGGUACCACCAGAACCAAGAGGAGUUCGAGGAAAGCGAGGAAGAGUUCGAACCCUGAUCACCUGUCGUACAGUAUUUCUACAUUUGAUGUGUGAUUUGUGAAGAACAUCAAACAAAACAAGCACUGGCUUUAAUAUGAUGAUAAGUAUUAUGGUAAUUAAUUAAUUGGCAAAAACAACAAUGAAGCUAAAAUUUUAUUUAUUGAGC